UCCCGCCUUAGGUGUUGGUGAUAAAAUUGCUUUCAAUUACUACUAAGUUAAAAGAACAAAGCGAUAAUAAUAAGGGGCUGCUGAACAAAGCGAUAAUAUUACUAAGUUAAAAGAACACGAUGUUACUCCACUCUUUCAAGUGAUAAUAAAAUGGGGCUGCUGAACAAAGCGAUAAUAAUAGUUGUAAAGUCGAUGAAGGAUUAUUACAGAAAUUGAAGCAAAAGGAUUCAAACAGUUGGCUUGAAAGGAAUAUAAAAUGCUUGAUUCUAAGAUAAAAUUAGGAAGGCAACCAGAAAGCGGAUUUUGUCCCACUCAUGGUGAUUGCGCGCAUUUCGUGAAAUCGUCAAGGAUCCCUGUGGGUAAGUUUAAUUAAACAAUUAAUUAAAGUGCCAGUUAGGUAAUUCAAGAUUAUUCAAAUCAUGUCAUUUGGUAUUUUGUAUGUGUUCAUUGGCUAUGAAGUUAUAUGUAACAAAAUUUCUAUACUUCUUUAUAUAUGGUAAUACAUAUUGAAGUAA